UGGGGAAUAUUGGACAAUGGGCGAAAGCCUGAUCCAGCCAUGCCGCGUGAGUGAUGAAGGCCUUAGGGUUGUAAAGCUCUUUUGUCAGGGAAGAUAAUGACGGUACCUGAAGAAUAAGCACCGGCUAACUUCGUGCCAGCAGCCGCGGUAAUACGAAGGGUGCUAGCGUUGUUCGGAAUUACUGGGCGUAAAGAGCGCGUAGGCGGUCAUGCAAGUCAGGGUGAAAUACCCGGAGCUUAACUCCGGAACUGCCUUUGAAACUGUAUGGCUGGAGUGUGUGAGGGGAUAGCGGAAUUCCUAAUGUAGAGGUGAAAUUCGUAGAUAUUAGGAGGAACACCGGUGGCGAAGGCGGCUAUCUUGGCGCACAACUGACGCU
rnacentral:rRNA from 1 species